AAAAAAUUUAAUUUAUAUUUUUUAUUAAUUUUUAAAUUUAUAAUAAUAUAUAAAUUUUUGUAUAAAAAUAUUUAAAUUAAAAAAAUUUUUUUAAUAAUUAAAAUUAAUAAAAAAAAGAAAUUUUUUAUUUGUAAAAUUUUUAAUAAUAAAUUAAAAAAGUGCCAGCAAUAGCGGUUAAACUUUUUUAUAUAAAAUUAAUUUAUUUAAUUAAUUAAUUAAUUAUUAAAUUUUAAUUAAAAUUAAUAUAUAAAUAUUAAAUAUAAGGUUAAAUAAAUUAUUUUUUAUAUAUAUAUUAAUAAUUAAAAUUUUUAUGAUAUUUAAUAAAUUUAAAUUUAAAACUAGGAUUAGAUACCCUAUUAUAUAAAUGUAAAUAAAAAGAUUAAUAAAGUAAAUUUAAUAAUGAAAUAAAUAAAUUUGACGGUAUUUUAAUUUAUUCAGGGGAACUUGUUGUAUAAUUGAUAAUCCACGAAAAGAAUAACUUAUAUUUUUAUAUUUAUGUAUAUUCGUUUUAAAAAUUUUUCUUAAGAAAAAUUUUUAAAAUUUAAAAUUUUUAAAUAAUUCAGAUAAAUAUGUAAUUUAUAUAUAAGAAUUUAAUGAGUUACAAUAAAUUAUAUUUAUAAUAAUUUUUUUAAAAAAUUAAUAAUUAGGAUUUGAUUGUAAAAUUAAUUAAUUUAUUAAUUUGAUUAAUUAAAUAUUAAAAUAUGUACAAAUCGCCCGUCAAUUUAAUUAAAUUUAAUAAUAAAAUUUAUUUUAUUUAUUAUUAUUUUAAAUUAAAUAAGUCGUAACAAAGUAAAAGUACUGGAAAGUGUUUUUAGAAUUUU
rnacentral:rRNA from 1 species